GAUGAACGCUGGCGGUCUGCUUAACACAUGCAAGUCGAACGGAACCUUUCGGGGUUUAGUGGCGGACGGGUGAGUAACGCGUGAGAAUCUACCCUUUGGUUCGGGACAACAGUUGGAAACGACUGCUAAUACCGGAUGUGCCGGAAGGUGAAAGCUUUAGUGCCAAAGGAAGAGCUCGCGUCUGAUUAGCUAGUAGGAGUGGUAACGGCACCCCUAGGCGACGAUCAGUAGCUGGUCUGAGAGGAUGAUCAGCCACACUGGGACUGAGACACGGCCCAGACUCCUACGGGAGGCAGCAGUGGGGAAUUUUCCGCAAUGGGCGCAAGCCUGACGGAGCAAGACCGCGUGAGGGAAGAAGGUCUGUGGAUUGUAAACCUCUUUUGAUAGGGAAGAAGACAGUGACGGUACCUAUCGAAUCAGCCUCGGCUAACUCCGUGCCAGUAGCCGCGGUAAU
rnacentral:rRNA from 1 species